rnacentral:rRNA from 1 species
CUACGGGCGGCAGCAGUCGCGAAUCAUUUACAAUGCACGAAAGUGUGAUAAUGCGAGCCAAAGUGUUUUUCGUAUAGAAAAACUUUUUCUUACUGUAAAAAUGUAGGAGAAUAAGGACUGGGAAAGACCGGUGCCAGCCGCCGCGGUAAUACCGGCAGUUCAAGUCGCAUCCCUUUUUAUUGGGUCUAAAACAUCCGUAGCUUGUUUAUUAAGUCUCUUGUGAAAUCCCACGUCUCAAGCGUGGGGCUUGCAGGGGAUACUGGUAGACUAGAGAUCGGUAGACGUAAGGAGUACGCCGGAGGUAGUGGUAAAAUACGUUAAUCUUCGGUGGACUAACAAUCAGCGAAGGCACCUUACGAGGACGAAUCUGACAGUGAGGGAUGAAGGCCAGGGGCGCAAAACGGAUUAGAUACCCGAGUAGUC